AUGCCCUGAGGGUUGCUGCCGGCCGGGAGCCGCGCACGGGCUGGGCCGCAGGAGCUCUGCUGACUGCACAGGGCUGCCCCGCGGCGCAGAGGCCAGCAGGUGUAUGAAGCCUCCCAUAGCUGGCCUCAUGCCUGCAGUGCCUCAGGCUAGUGUCCUCCCUUCCCUGGGUGCCCAGCAAUGCCCAGUGCCACGAGGAAGCCACUCGGUCCAGUCGCCAAACGCAGACUCGGCAAUGAUGGUGUGACAGGCCAUGUGCCUGAUGGGUGCACUAUUAACUGAGGACAAAGCAAGAGGACACAACCCUACCAGGGGGGCCUAAGUCUCUCUCUUUGCUGGUUAUAAAAGAAUGGAGCAUCUGGACAACGUGUGCAUCACUUUGGUACUCCCCUUAGCCUAGCUCUUGCAUCCCAAAUUCCCAAGCUUAAUCUGCCCCAUGUUACUACUGGCAGUGGUCAUGCCCAGUAGGUGACAUUUGGCCAUCCAGGCAUUGGACACUGCUCUGAGUAGCUUGUGGACAUCAGCAGUUACACAUACCAAUUAGAAAUCCAGCAUGAUUAUUAAUGCUAAAAGCUCCAUUAAAAAGUGAGUGAUAAAUGUAGUUGUUCAGAGAUUAGCCCAUCAUAUGGGAAUCGGAGUUCAGGGUGUAACGUUACUGCAAAAUGUAAGUACCGGAAAGCAGCUCACAUUACUCCCAAGGAAUUUGCCGACUCAGGCCUUCCAAGACAUUUCCAGGUCAUUUUCUAUAUCUCUAUGGCCAAAGAGAAUGCCAACACCUUUGGUUGGGAUGGAAGGGAAGAUUUUUGCUGUCACACAAUGACUCCCAGAGCUGCAGCCAUAUGCUCAAAGCUUUUCAUUUCUCCAGAGCACUGAUGUGGCACUCACAGGGAUGCUCUGGUGCCAGAGGUUGCUGCCUCAUUAGAUCAGAAACUGUUGGAAUGUCUGCGAAAACCCAUGUUUUCCAGAAAAGCCUCCUACACACCAGCUGAUGUGGGAGAUCAUCCCACUGCAGCGUCACACUUGUUCUUACAGUGGCAUUUUCCUAGAGAGCAUUUCAGGACAGAAUUAUUCCAUUUCAGGGUGGAAAUGGGCCAGAUUCUGCACUCACUGAUACCAGACAUACCCAUCAUGAGGCAGACCAGACACAGCAGGAGGAAGGGGCAGGAAAACACGCAAACAUAGCGGCAGCAUCACCUUCAGUACAAUAACUCCAGCUUCUGCUUAAUGCCAGUCGCUUUUGCUCUGAGCCAUGCAGAGAAGCGCCAGCCCUGUGCAAGGAUCUCUUCCCAAGGGAGAAAGGGGAAUGGCUCCAGUUGCUUGGCUUAUUUGUGCUGAAAUGUGGUGAUUUGUGCCCACAUGAUGGAUUGAAUUUCUGGAUUAGUGGGAAGGGACAUUUUUGUGUUUCUAGAGCAGUGCCAACUCCCCAGACCAAGGAGUACUGUUGAGGAGAUUGCCCUGCUACACUCUUCUGGGAGAUGGGCAAAUAUUGCCUGUUCUUUGCAGGAGCACAGAUCAGACCGGACUAGACAAGAUCCAGCCUCCACUGACUUCUGUGGAGGUACCCAGCUCAGCGCAUGCAAGGACAAAUGCUUUGGCCUAGCCUCCAGAGGAAAGCGUUAUCUGUUGGAAUGGGUCCAUCUUUAUGCUCUGAGAUAAUCAUGCCAGCGAUAACCCUUGUCUUUGAC